rnacentral:misc_RNA from 1 species
AGCUUGAUAAUGAAAACAGAGAAGCACGUAGAUUACCAAGGUGGCGCGGGCGCAUACCAUACUCGAUGCUCAGCCUCUCACCUAAUUAAACGGAGACGUGACAUUGCUACGUUAUACAUUUUUUAAUCUGGUGUUGAACAGCAACUUAAUCGAUUUACUUAUAAAAUUACUUUAAAUAAUCAAUACAAACAAAAGACUUUAACAUAAUUUUACAAGAAUACCAAUUUACCGGUAUCGGGACACGCUUCUUCGAGGUAUUGCGACAGAAAAAACGAAAGAAAAAUAUUUUAUAAUUAUCAAUGAAAUACUUCUAAAUCCCUCUAAUGAUACUAAAGUUUGCAUUUUAAACAUAUGAAAAUAUUUAAAAAAGUAAACCAGGUCUUAAAUAUUGAAAUACUUAGAAACGAAGUAUUUCGUUCAGCAUCUGUCGUCCAAAUCGGGAGUGUAUGUGAUAAUUGUACUUGAACGUUAAUAUCGAUUAAA